rnacentral:sRNA from 6 species
AAGCUUCGACCAAGGUUCGAUUCGAGCGCAGCGAGAAAGCGUUGCCGCAGGCAACGACCCGAAGGGCGAAGCGCGCAGCGCUGAGUCAUCCUUCCCCCACCACCA